UACGUAGGGGGCAAGCGUUGUCCGGAAUCAUUGGGCGUAAAGAGCGUGUAGGCGGUCCGGUAAGUCGGCUGUGAAAGUCCAGGGCUCAACCCUGGGAUGCCGGUCGAUACUGCCGGACUAGAGUUCGGAAGAGGCGAGUGGAAUUCCCGGUGUAGCGGUGAAAUGCGCAGAUAUCGGGAGGAACACCAAUGGCGAAGGCAGCACUCUGGGACGUGACUGACGCUGAGACGCGAAAGCUAGGGGAGCGAACAGG
rnacentral:rRNA from 1 species